AUACUUGUUUAGUUGUGCAGAUUGUCAUGCAAAAUAGGUCUCAGUUGGGAGGGAACCUUGGUUCCAAUAUUUUGUUUCCCUUGGGACUCAUUUGAUGAGGGACCGUCAGCCAUCUUAAAAAGGGCCAGUGAAAUGUUUGUCACUCAUGUUUUGAUCAGCCACAGGGCACACGGGCAGCCGGUGAGAUGUUCCAUUGCAUUGCAACAACCUCUUAGGAACAAAGAGAAGGUUUGCAGUGCUUUCACAUCUUCGGUUCUGAUCAUUGUCCAGACACUUUCACACAAUCCAACAAACGGUCUUGCUGCCUCUGGUUCAGAUCCCGCGCUCUUUUGAAGUAGG